rnacentral:misc_RNA from 1 species
AAGUCGUAACAAGGUCUCCGUUGGUGAACCAGCGGAGGGAUCAUUACAGAGUUGCAAAACUCCCAACCCAUUGUGAACCUACCUGUAUGUUGCUUCGGUGGGGUGGCCUCUCCGGAGGUCCUCAGGCUGCAAGGCACCCCGCCGGAGGUUUUAUCAAACUCUUUUUGUUUUCGACCUGUCUUCUGAGUACACAAACAAAAUAAUCAAAACUUUCAACAACGGAUCUCUUGGCUCUA